UACGGAGGGGGCUAGCGUUGUUCGGAAUUACUGGGCGUAAAGCGCACGUAGGCGGCUUUGCAAGUCAGAGGUGAAAGCCCGGGGCUCAACCCCGGAAUUGCCUUUGAGACUGCAUCGCUAGAAUUGUGGAGAGGUAAGUGGAAUUCCGAGUGUAGAGGUGAAAUUCGUAGAUAUUCGGAAGAACGCCAGUGGCGCAGGCGACUUACUGGACACAUAUUGACGCUGAGGUGCGAAAGCGUGGGGAGCAAACAGG
rnacentral:rRNA from 1 species